rnacentral:rRNA from 1 species
GUGAGGAAUAUUGGUCAAUGGGCGAGAGCCUGAACCAGCCAAGUCGCGUGAGGGAAGACGGUCCUACGGAUUGUAAACCUCUUUUGUCGGGGAGUAAUAGGCGGGACGUGUCCUGCUGUGAGAGUACCCGAAGAAAAAGCAUCGGCUAACUCCGUGCCAGCAGCCGCGGUAAUACGGAGGAUGCGAGCGUUAUCCGGAUUUAUUGGGUUUAAAGGGUGCGCAGGCGGCGUGCCAAGUCAGCGGUCAAAGUUCCGGGCUCAACCCGGUGAUGCCGUUGAAACUGGUGUGCUUGAGUGCGUGCGAGGGAGGCGGAAUGCGUUGUGUAGCGGUGAAAUGCAUAGAUAUGACGCAGAACUCCGAUUGCGAAGGCAGCUUUCCAGCACGCCACUGACGCUGAGGCACGAAAGCGUGGGGAUCGAACAGGAUUAGAAACCCUAGUAGUCC